CAAUACAGACUGAUGACUACUUAAAAGUUCCUUAGGAAUAGUGGCUGACAAAUUGGAAAAAAAAACAGAGGAAAGGAAUAGCUUAACACCUAAAUACCAGCAGAAACUCCUGCUGAGACAAGUGUUCCAGGGUGUGUUCACUGUGACAUUCAAAGGGAAGCAAAGUGCAAAGGGGCAAGAAAGCAGGUGUAUUAUAACACUAUGAUUCAUUUUCUUAGAGGAUUAAAAUUCAUGCAAGAGAAAAUCAGUGGUGAAGUUAUAGUACAGAAUCAUCAUUUGCAUCAUGACAAGAAUAUGGAAAGGUGAUUUCCAAUACAUGGAAUUAUCUGUAAAAUUAUGAAUAGCCUGACAUUUAUGGAUGAGUAAAUCUGAAAAUCCUUUUUGAUACAUACCCUGUGGCUAACACCAAUU